AGCCCACGUGACCCUCGUGGCGGGAAGCAGCUCAGGUCCCGCCCGGUGUGUGGGCGCCGCAUACACCACACACAGAGAGUUGACACACGGCUGCUCAGGUUGCUCAGAGUACUGGCAUCGCUGCCGAUUGCAGACUGGCCUGAAACACACAGCCUGCCAAUGUGGGAACUCCCUCCAUAGUGCCAUUGGGAUGGCAGAGAAUGGCUAACUACAAUCUUGCAUGUGCAGAAAUGAUGCGAUCUUGGAAACUGGAAGUACAGAAGCAAAUGUACGACAUCACAGAGCCUUGGGACGUCCUCCUGACGUGAAAGGCACUAUACAGAUGUAAUUUUCUAUUGUAUUGUACAGUAUAAGCAGAGAAAGCAGAAGCUACAGUUGUCACCAUAUUUUAGGCAUAAUAACUUACUUUUCAUAUAUUUGAAUCACUUCUGAAAUGUGGCUUUUUGAGGAAUGAGCUGAAAGAGUAUAUAUUUCAACACAAGUAUUAAGAUUGUGUACUGCUUAUAACAAAUAAACAGCCUUUAUUUGUUACAAAUA